CGGACGGGUGAGUAAUGCUUGGGAAUCUGGCUUAUGGAGGGGGAUAACUACGGGAAACUGUAGCUAAUACCGCGUAAUAUCUUCGGAUUAAAGGGUGGGACUUUCGGGCCACCUGCCAUAAGAUGAGCCCAAGUGGGAUUAGGUAGUUGGUGGGGUAAAGGCCUACCAAGCCGACGAUCUCUAGCUGGUCUGAGAGGAUGACCAGCCACACUGGAACUGAGACACGGUCCAGACUCCUACGGGAGGCAGCAGUGGGGAAUAUUGCACAAUGGGGGGAACCCUGAUGCAGCCAUGCCGCGUGAAUGAAGAAGGCCUUCGGGUUGUAAAGUUCUUUCGGUGAUGAGGAAGGUGUUUGUUUUAACAGAACAAGCAAUUGACGUUAGUCACAGAAGAAGCACCGGCUAACUCCGUGCCAGCAGCCGCGGUAAUACGGAGGGUGCGAGCGUUAAUCGGAAUGACUGGGCGUAAAGGGCACGCAGGCGGUGACUUAAGUGAGAUGUGAAAGCCCCGGGCUUAACCUGGGAAUUGCAUUUCAUACUGGGUCGCUAGAGUAUUUUAGGGAGGGGUAGAAUUCCACGUGUAGCGGUGAAAUGCGUAGAGAUGUGGAGGAAUACCGAAGGCGAAGGCAGCCCCUUGGGAAUAUACUGACGCUCAUGUGCGAAAGCGUGGGGAGCAAACAGGAUUAGAUACCCUGGUAGUCCACGCUGUAAACGCU
rnacentral:rRNA from 1 species